rnacentral:rRNA from 1 species
UACAGAGGUCCCGAGCGUUGUUCGGAUUCACUGGGCGUAAAGGGUGCGUAGGUGGUUGGGUAAGUCUGAUGUGAAAUCUCCGGGCUCAACCCGGAAAUGGCAUUGGAUACUAUCUGGCUAGAGGUUUGGAGGGGGGACUGGAAUUCCCGGUGUAGUGGUGAAAUGCGUAGAUAUCGGGAGGAACACCAGUGGCGAAGGCGGCUACCUGGCCCAUUCUUGACGCUGAGGCGCGAAAGCUAGGGGAGCGAACGGG